UACGUAGGGUCCGAGCGUUGUCCGGAAUUACUGGGCGUAAAGAGCUCGUAGGUGGUUUGUCGCGUUGUCCGUGAAAACUCACAGCUCAACUGUGGGCGUGCGGGCGAUACGGGCAGACUGGAGUACUGCAGGGGAGACUGGAAUUCCUGGUGUAGCGGUGGAAUGCGCAGAUAUCAGGAGGAACACCGGUGGCGAAGGCGGGUCUCUGGGCCGAUACUGACGCUGGAGGAAGCGAAAGCGUGGGGAGCGAACAGG
rnacentral:rRNA from 1 species